rfam:Oryza sativa (indica cultivar-group) chromosome 1, whole genome shotgun sequence.
AAUAAACACAACCAUGAGUUUCUGCGCCCAACUUUGAUCGUCUGUCUUAUUUAAAUUUUUUUUAUGAUUAGUAUUUUUAUUGUUAUGAGAUGAUAAAACAUGAAUAGUACUUUACUCGUGGCAUAUUUUUUUAGUUUUUUUUUAAAAAAUUAAAUAAGAUAAACGAUUAAAGUUGGACACGAAAAGUCAUGGCCGUUAGA